UUCAGUACCAGUGGGGUGAGCCAACACAGAGGGAAGACAAGAAGGAGACUAUGACAUUUUACCGCUUGGAAACAGACCGUGUGGGAACGCGAUGGAAGAGGGUGUGUAUGACUUUCCUAUGUCUUACAGGAGGGCUGCUGAACAUCCGAACCCUGCAGAGAGCAUCUAUGACGUACCCAGCUCUCUGUUGAGGAGGAGGCCUGAUCACACUUUAG